GUCCGAACUACUUCGACUCUGAUGUCUAUGCCUGAUAGACUAAGUAGGCCCAGGAUGCGACAUCCUGCCGAGUCAGUUUCAGUCAGUUUCUUUUGUCUCUUUUCAGCCAGUGUGUGUGAGUGUGAGCAGUGUUUAGCAACCAAUAUUCCUUCCUUUUGUGCGUGGAUCCCGUAGAGUACUACGGAUGCGUAGGGGUGCUAAUACCUUCCCUUCGCAUAACCGAC
rnacentral:lncRNA from 1 species